UCAAAUCAAAUGUUUCAAAACCCAAAAAAUCAGGAAUUUAUAUUCAAAAUUUUCAAUCAUAUCUUGCCCCAAAUCUCUCCUUAAAUUUCGAUCACUUGAAUCUCUCUACUGUUUAAUUUCAAAAUCCCAGUUGUAAAAUCUAUAAAACCUAUCUUCUCACAAUCUCCAUUUUGGCUGCUGCAAUAUUUGAUGCGGACCAAACAACCCCUUCUUCACCAUAACCUUCAUUUCAGGCUUCUCAUGCUUAAGUUGAGAAUUUUUUUGAAGCAAGACAUAGCGAGAUUCUUGUGCUUGGAUUUUGGAGGUCGUGUUCAUUCAUAUCAGAUUACUUUUUCUCAGUGAUGGUGUAUAAUAAUGGUUCAUGGGAAAUCGGAGUUGUCUAUGAGGAUUCUGUUUUUUCUCCACCAAUUCAUGAUUCACAGCCGACAUGCCCACCUUCAUUGGUCAUCAGAGUUUUAUUUCAUUUCACUUUGUGAACCGUGUUUUCCACGAUUUUUAUAAUUUAUACAUUAUUUUACUUUGUGAACCGUGGUUUUCACGGGUUAUAACCUAAUAUAGUAUACGUAUAAAUAAAUGAUAAUUAGAGAAGAUAUUUUGAAA